UCAGGAUGAACGCUAGCUACAGGCUUAACACAUGCAAGUCGAGGGGCAGCAUGGGAUUAGCUUGCUAAUCCUGAUGGCGACCGGCGCACGGGUGAGUAACGCGUAUCCAACCUUCCCCUUACUCAGGGAUAGCCCGGUGAAAACCGGAUUAACUCCUGAUAGUUUCACUAGAUGGCAUCUGACGGUGAAUAAAGCUUUGCGGUAAGGGAUGGGGAUGCGUCUGAUUAGCUUGUUGGCGGGGUAACGGCCCACCAAGGCAACGAUCAGUAGGGGUUCUGAGAGGAAGGUCCCCCACAUUGGAACUGAGACACGGUCCAAACUCCUACGGGAGGCAGCAGUGAGGAAUAUUGGUCAAUGGGCGAGAGCCUGAACCAGCCAAGUAGCCGUGCAGGAUGACGGCCCUAUGGGUUGUAAACUGCUUUUGUACGGGAAUAAAGUGACCUACGUGUAGGUUUUUGCAUGUACCGUAAGAAUAAGGACCGGCUAAUUCCGUGCCAGCAGCCGC
rnacentral:rRNA from 1 species